rnacentral:rRNA from 1 species
AGAGUUUGAUCCUGGCUCAGGACGAACGCUGGCGGCGUGCCUAACACAUGCAAGUCGAGCGAGGAAUGUCGGAUAGCUUGCUAUUUGAUAUUUCUAGCGGCGGACGGGUGAGUAACGCGUGAGUAACCUGCCUUCAAGAGGGGGAUAACAUUCUGAAAAGAAUGCUAAUACCGCAUGACAUAUCGGAACCACAUGGUUUUGAUAUCAAAGAUUUUAUCGCUUGAAGAUGGACUCGCGUCCGAUUAGUUAGUUGGUGAGGUAACGGCUCACCAAGACCGCGAUCGGUAGCCGGACUGAGAGGUUGAACGGCCACAUUGGGACUGGGACACGGCCCAGACUCCUACGGGAGGCAGCAGUGGGGGAUAUUGCGCAAUGGGGGCAACCCUGACGCAGCAACGCCGCGUGAAGGAUGAAGGUUUUCGGAUUGUAAACUUCUUUUAUUAAGGACGAAAAAUGACGGUACUUAAUGAAUAAGCUCCGGCUAACUACGUGCCAGCAGCCGCGGUAAUACGUAGGGAGCAAGCGUUGUCCGGAUUUACUGGGUGUAAAGGGAGCGUAGACGGUUAAGCAAGUCAGAAGUGAAAGGCUGGGGCUCAACCCCGGGACUGCUUUUGAAACUGUUUAACUAGAGUGCUGGAGAGGUAAGCGGAAUUCCUAGUGUAGCGGUGAAAUGCGUAGAUAUUAGGAGGAACACCAGUGGCGAAGGCGGCUUACUGGACAGUAACUGACGUUGAGGCUCGAAAACGUGGGGAGCAAACAGGAUUAGAUACCCUGGUAGUCCACGCCGUAAACGAUGAAAACUAGG